GCAAGACACCUCCGCUUCGCGUCGGUGUACUGUUUGCCCUGUUGGGGCUUAUUUUCCCAAUAAUGACCGGAGUUCUAUACAUUAUCCCUUACAUAAUAUAUAGGUAUUUAUAUAAUAUAUAUAAUAUCACGGCCAAAAGCUAUGUGCGUCUCGGAGACUAUUUUGAAUCAUAAAGACUGCGUCUGACGUCUCUGGUACUUCCACAACAAGUAAAGACUCGUAGUGGGGGUUAUAUCGGCCAUGGUUGUGAAGAAUUGGGGGAAAGGAACUUUGGCCAUAUUAAACCGCGACAUGGAGGAGAAAGGGAUAUUACUGCCGGACUGCCGCCAGAGCUCCGGCGGCAGUCCGGCACAAAUACGCGAGAUUUGUGAUUUAUCCAAACUUCUAUUUGUCGCUUGUGGGGGCAGUAAUGCGCCUUUGCUACAUCUAGCCUGCCAGAACCUAAAGAAGGAGAAGGAAAAGAAGAGGAGGAGAAGGAGGGGAAGCAGGGGAAGCAUCGAAAGCAGCCAUAAGCUGUGUUCGAAAUCGUUCCCUAUCACGGAUAUAGUGUACUAUUUAGGGUGCUCGCCAUUUUGUAGUGGUGUUCGAAUUCUCAGUGGUUAAUUUCAUGCACUAUAUAGUGCACUUAAAAUACCCACAAUUUGAGUGUACAUACGAUGUAGCCUACAUGUUACUCCCGUAUACCACAAUGCAAUGCGGUCUUUUAGUUUCAAUUUCAUGCAUGUAAAGAGUUAUCAUAAAACAUUUCAAAAUGCAUGCGCGACUUGGUUAAAUAAAAGUCUGUUGGUCCAGUCAUAUAAUUUGUCAUUGUAGUUUUCUUAAAAUCUCGUCUCGUCUCGUUCUCGUGAACCCAAUAUCGUGUCUCGUCUCGUCUCGUGAGCUGAGUGUAUCGUCACACCCCUAGUAGGCGGGGUACUUUCAGAAAUGCAUAUCUCACUCAAAAAAUCAUGUGUGUUGGAGCACCAGAGACCCAAAACAACACCCCAAAUCCCAGGAAAAGUGUUGUUUUCAUAAUAUGUCCCCUUUAAUAGCACAUUUGGAGUAUGGGGAAAUGCACUUUCGGUCCUCUUUGUAACUUAUUGCAAGGUCAGUCUGACAUUAAAGUUCACUUUGACAUUUCACAAGCCCCUUAAAAAACAUCCCGAAUGUACCACUUGAACUACAAAAAAAAAAAUGGACUACACUACUG